UACAGAGGCCCCAAGCAUUAUCCGGAAUCACUGGGCGUAAAGGGUGUGUAGGCGGUCGUGUUAGUCUUUCGUGAAAGAUCUUCGGCUUAACCGAGGGGACGCGGAGGAAACGGCACGACUUAGAGGUAGCGAGAGGUAAAGGGAACUCAUAGUGUAGGGGUGAAAUCCGUUGAUAUUAUGGGGAACACCAAAUGCGAAGGCACUUUACUGGCGCUCACCUGACGCUGAGACACGAAAGCGUGGGAAUCGAACGGG
rnacentral:rRNA from 1 species